CAGAGGGCAGGUGCUGGCUAACGGCCAGUCGAGGCGACUCGCAGGAAAGUGCCACAGAAAACAAACCGCCCGUUCCGAAAGGGGCGGGUAAGGGUGAAACGGUGCGGUAAGAGCGCACCGCGUCCGGGGUGACUCGGACGGCACGGUAAACCCCACCUGGAGCAAGAGCCAAUAGGAGCGCGUCCUCCGCCGUACGGGAGGACAGGGAUGGCCCGUCCCAUGCGUUCGGGUUGCUCGCUGAUGAGGCCCCUGGGCAACCAGGGCCCUAGACGAAUGUUCACCGCCCAUCCCGAAAGGGGUGGGA
rnacentral:misc_RNA from 1 species